UACGUAGGUGGCAAGCGUUGUCCGGAUUUACUGGGCGUAAAGGGCGCGUAGGCUGCGGGGCAAGUCGGGUGUGAAAUCUCAGAGCUCAACUCUGAAACUGCACUCGAUACUGCUUUGCUCGAGGACUGGAGAGGAGAUUGGAAUUCACGGUGUAGCAGUGAAAUGCGUAGAUAUCGUGAGGAAGACCAGUGGCGAAGGCGGAUCUCUGGACAGUUCCUGACGCUGAGGCGCGAAGGCCAGGGGAGCAAACGGG
rnacentral:rRNA from 1 species